CAAGUAAAGAAAACAAUAGUUAAAAUUGCACAUGGUUGGCAUGUGUCCCCUCCAUCGUAUCCAUUCUCUCUGCUGCUGAGGUCUCCGUGGGCUCAGCCAGGAUCUCGGUGAAUUUAUUGCAAUUCUGGUAGCAGCGGCCAUCUUGAUUCCCGGGUGGCUGUUUUAGAAGCAGGGGCAUUUCCUCCUGUCAAAUCUGAUUUAUCAGACAAGAUUGGCCCCAAAAUUAGUCGUAAUUAGAUCACUAAAAAUAUCAACGAGAUCUUAGAGCCCUCAUUUUCGUGCUAAAAAUCGAUGAAGAAACUAGGAACGCAUAAAUUAAAUGGUCUAAUGGAUGCAGUUCGUUGUUGUGACUAAACUGAUCAAGGAUAAGUAUUGUUGGACAAUAUUGCUAGGCUGCAGGUGUUUGAUCUUCAUAAGAAACACUUGUACCUCUUAUCUUCAAGAUGUAGAAAUCAAGACUAGUUCGAUACUAACAAUACUUGAACUCCUUGACGAUCCUGGUUAAGUUGGAGAUGAUGCUCCCUCAAAGUUAUCUAAUGUAAUUUCAGAAAAGGAGGUUUCACAAAAGAUAGCAUUUGAUUAAGGUUGUUGAUAAAUUUUGCAAACCACUUGGAGAGAAGACCAUUUCAAGUAAGCGUUUGCAAGUUAUAUUUUAAGUAUUGGCUUAUAAGUACUCAGGGUUGGAAUGUUAGGAGUAUAGAGCCCUUUCUAAAAGGCAUUGAAAUUAAUAAAAGAUGCACUAGCAUGUGAUAGUACUAAAUUAUGAUGCAACGACACGGACACGUGUAUUUAACACGACAGAUGUUGAAUAGACCAUUAUCAGAAUCAGAGUUGGAAUAAGGAAUAGGAAUUGAUUCUUUAUAUAUUCAUAUACUAAUAAAGGGGAUUGCUUUUUCCACAACCUUUGCUACAAAUUGGAUAUUUUUGUUUUCUU
rnacentral:lncRNA from 1 species